rnacentral:rRNA from 1 species
UACAGAGGGUGCGAGCGUUAAUCGGAAUUACUGGGCGUAAAGCGCGCGUAGGCGGCUUUGCAAGUCGGGUGUGAAAUCCCCAGGCUUAACCUGGGAACUGCAUUCGAGACUGCAUUGCUAGAGUAUGGGAGAGGGCAGUGGAAUUUCCGGUGUAGCGGUGAAAUGCGUAGAUAUCAGGAGGAACACCGAUGGCGAAGGCAGGUCUCUGGGCUGUAACUGACGCUGAGGAGCGAAAGCAUGGGGAGCGAACAGG